GGAUGAUACUGGUCUCCAUUGUAAAAGAGAUUUCUAAUCUCGAUGGGACUUCCUGAAUAAAUAACAGUAAAUACAUAUUUAAUUUUUAAUACUUGUUAACAUGUGACACCAAUUUAAGAUCUGAACCCUAGUCUUAGUAAUUUACUGAAUUUCAGUGUGAUCGCAACAACAGUAAAGACAAUAAGGUUCCAUUCACACUUCUGCUGAAUUCACAUUUUUUGCUGAAGUCCAGUGUUUUGCAUCACAUUAUUAUUUAGACGCUCUGUCAUGUCUGCUCCCAGACUGUCUGGAAUUCGUCUUUUAUGUUUUCUGUCAUUUCCUGUUUUAUUUUGUUAAGUUUCCCUCAUGUGUCAUGUCUGGGGUCUUUACUUCCCUUCCCUGAUUGUUUCACCUGCUCUGAUUACCUGACUCCACCCUGAUGUGUUCCACCUGUGUCCACCUGUCCUCCCUCCCUCUUGUGUGUUUAAACCCUGUGUUUUCCCCUGUUUGUUUGUGUUCUACACUCGUGUGUUCACUUACCAGCGUUUUGGCUCCUGUCAGUCUGUCUGCCCGUUGUGACCCGUUUCGUCUUUCGACCACCGAUUCUGCCCGUUCCUGUUUUGCCUGCUCAUCCUUGACCUGGUUCGUGUACCCGACUCUGAUUCCGCCUUCUCCCUUUGGUACCUCAGCCUCCACCGAUUACCUGUGUUUCGACCCUGCGCCUGGAUUACUGACCUCGGGGUUCCGUUGGGUUUUUCCCGGCCCGGCCACGCUGGUCGCCAGCUGAUCCCUCCCACGGCCCAGACGUCAAGCCCCGGACACGGCGGCUCCGCAGAUUCACUAAUUAAUCUGUGUUGUCAUUUCCCUUAAGAGUUCAAUAAACACACUCUACUUCACGUCUGUCUAUUGGUCUUGCAUUUGGGUUCAGCCUCUGUACUACAUACAUCACACGCUCAUGUGUGAACGAUCUACGGUCCUGAGGUGACUCCCAUGUACAGAAGACAUGACGUCAUAUGCAGCACACUGUGUUUGCAAACAUCCGUUGCUUUUCAAUGUUGAAAAAGUUGGAUGAAAUGUGACAUGAUUGUUCACACUUAAGUUGUAU
rnacentral:lncRNA from 1 species